rnacentral:lncRNA from 1 species
CCUCGCGGUCCGCCCCGGCCCAGCGGUCCCAGCCGCGUCGGCAGGGCAGUGGGGCACCCGCUCUGAGCGCCCCACAACGACCUCCAGCGCGCGCGGACAGCCGACGCACCGCGGGCCGCUGCCACUGCCGCUGAGGACCAGUGGACUGCACCACCCUCCACGCGCCUGUCCAGCCCGCCAGCCAAUCGCAACGCCUCCUCACGCACGUGACAUACACCGACCAAUGGAUGCCCGAGGUGCCCAUGAGGCACAGGCGGCCCUCGGGGCUUUCAGAUGGGCGCGGGCUGUCGAGGGACCGCACAAGGACCGCGAGGGGACUGAGAAGCUGUGAGGCUCGCGUGGAGGCCUACUCCCCGUGGUCCCAGGAUGGAGACUGCCUGGAAAGGAGGAGGCGGAGUAAGCAGCGUCCUGCAGCCUCGGGGCCAGUGCCACGCGAGCGUGCCUGUCACCCAGCAGCUUCCCACUCUUCCCCGCCUGGUGCUCUCAGACCAGCUCUUCGAACCUCCUGGUUUUCAGCUGGCCCCAGACUCCAGAUAAAAACAACUACCCUGGAGACAACAAAAGGACAUACAGCAAAUAAAGGGUUAAUCCCUGUUAGGGAGGAUAGCACAGCUCCAAGAGAACCUCAUGACCCUUGGGGCUAUGAGUGAAGUCUGGGGCUACUGGAGACUGGAAACCCAGGUCAAGCCUACCCGAAGAGGGCCCCAAAGCACUAAGCUCUGAAGCUUGGAUGAAUGUCCUUGGUUGGCAUGCUGUGUGCACACUGUCACACAUUGUUGCUGAGAAGGUGAUGCAUCCUGACUCCGUGGACAGAGGACAGUGGAAGCUUCACAACUGGUGUAUUCCCAGAUAUGCUUUCCCUCCCUUGGCUGAUUUUAAUCUGUGUACUUCCCUGUAAUAAACCACAAGUAAGGAGCUUUCUGUGAGGAUUGAGUGCUCCUAACCAAUUAUUAAAACUGAGAUUGGGUUUUGAAACCUCUCAAACUUGCAGCGGUAUCAGAGGUGAGAGUGGCUUCCCGUGGACUCUGUGGUUUCAUGUAUCUCAGUUAUCCAAAGUGAAUACAAGUUCUAAAAGUGUUUCCCAAAGGAACUGACUUCAUUUGAAACAGAAUGUGAGAGAAAUUCCUGUACAAGGACUCUUUGGAAAGAGUACUCUUAACUAAAAGCAGCAAGCAAAAUUAUAGGCCAAUGAAUUUACCUGGCAGAGCCAAGGAAAGAGACAAUUAAAGUGAAAUGGAUGCUGCAAGUCAGAGACCACUUGACAGGCUUUUGUGAAGGCAUUGAUUAAGAUUUAGUCCAUGGGUGCACACAGAGUGUGAAAAGACCAUCUGUGGGGAACAAAGAAAAAUGGGCUUUUUGUAGGGCUUGAAAGAAGGCAGGGAACAUUAGGUGAGAAGGUUUGAACAAACAUCAGUGUUCAAAGUUCUUAGAGUGUCCGGUGCAAAAGUAUGGAUGUUGUCAGAAGUCCUGGUGCUUGGAAGAGUCCAUGCUCCCCCUUAUUG